ensembl:lncRNA
AGAGGAGGAGGGCUGGAAGGGGCCAGGGGAUUUUGAGGGAUGAGGGUACAGAUGCUGGGGCUGGUUAGGAAGACUCCAGUAGGCAAGUGUGAGAUAACUAAGCUUAUGGAGAUGGCGAGUAUGAAACAGACUUACGGAAAACAACAGAGGACUGCAGAGAAGAUAUGGAGGCAAGAUUAUUUUGUGGUGGAUGUACAAUUCAGUAGGAGGCCCCAGGGCCAGGUUGUUUUAGGUAGAAACUUUUCAGAUGGAAAGGAGGAGAGGGAAGGCUAUGAUUUCCAGAGAGAGGAUGGUUUUGGAAAGCUCUCUUUGGUGGGCAGGAGGGACUUGAAAGACACAGGAAGUGUGAGAGGGCUGUUCUUUGCUUCCCAUUUCACCUCAUCUGACCAAUUCCCCUCUGUACUUUCCUGUGAGCAGCUGACUGCCUGGGAGAGAAAUGCACUUCUUUAUUCAGUUCCUAUUUCUUCUACCACGCUUCAGAUAUCCUCUAUCGGUCACAGACUCAGAUGAGCCUUUGGUUUGUGCUGUUCUUGCAGAAUGAAGACCGUAAGCACAACAGUGAAUAUAAACUGGUUCUAAAGUUAAAUCAAACAGAAAAUAAAUGUGGAGUCUAACUGCUCCUAAUGUUGUUGAUUUUAUGUUAUAUCUUUUGAGCAGUUGGGCUUAACUUGGCUCAAACAAAAUUUGUGAAAGAAAUUUUCUUCAUUUCUUUUCUCUGCAGUUUUAAGCCCA